rnacentral:rRNA from 1 species
UAGAGUUUGAUCAUGGCUCAGAUUGAACGCUGGCGGCAGGCCUAACACAUGCAAGUCGAGCGGAAACGAUGGAAGCUUGCUUCCAGGCGUCGAGCGGCGGACGGGUGAGUAAUGCAUGGGAAUCUGCCCGAUAGUGGGGGAUAACCUGGGGAAACCCAGGCUAAUACCGCAUACGUCCUACGGGAGAAAGCAGGGGAUCUUCGGACCUUGCGCUAUCGGAUGAGCCCAUGUCGGAUUAGCUUGUUGGUGAGGUAAUGGCUCACCAAGGCGACGAUCCGUAGCUGGUCUGAGAGGAUGAUCAGCCACAUCGGGACUGAGACACGGCCCGAACUCCUACGGGAGGCAGCAGUGGGGAAUAUUGGACAAUGGGCGAAAGCCUGAUCCAGCCAUGCCGCGUGUGUGAAGAAGGCCCUCGGGUUGUAAAGCACUUUCAGUGGGGAAGAAAGCCUUGGGAUUAAUACUCCCGAGGAAGGACAUCACCCACAGAGAG